GAGGAUAACAGUAGUAACCCCUUUAUAAGUUGGUGGUGUGUAGUAAUUGAGGUACCUGCAUUGGAAGGCCCCAGGGAAUGUUGGAUCAAUGAAAAGAAGACAGGACCAACCCUGCAAUGAUGGCUCAGGUCAUUCUAUUUAUGUAAAUCAGAUACCAGUGAGGCCCAUUUACUCCUAUACAUUUAUGUAUAAUACUGGCUUGACUCCAAGUUCUACAAUCCAUAGAAAUCCAAAUUCCUCUUCAAGGUUUUUAAGAGUUCUGAAGAAUCACAUUUUCAUGAUAACAUUUUUAUCAGCAUGCUACUGCUAUGCCCUUAUAUUUUUUUUGACUAAAUGUUUUUGUUAGAUGAGAAAAUAAGGCUUUUUAAAAAUUCUCUCCACUUCUAAAAAUACACGUUCACAAAAGGUAUUAAUGAAAAUACUUUAGCGAAGAUCUUGGAAUCAGAGGAGAUGGAUCACAUUGAAAUAGCAAAACAGAGUCAAAUUGCAUAUUACAUAUUUUUACUUUUAUUUUUAGCUACCAAACCAUUUUGGGGUUUUCCUGGCCUUUUACUCUGUAUGCUCACCUAAGUUCCCAAGAUUUCAUCUGCCCAUCCUCCUCCCCUCUGCACUUUCCUCUCCUGCAUCCACUUCUAAAUAUAUAUAUAUAUAUAUAUAUCUCAUUACUCAAGCAAAACAGAUUUACUGUUUAUUCAUUUUGGUGAAAUCAUGAUUUCAUGGUUUCACAUUUUAUUCCAUGGAACCUAAUAAGUGCCCCUCAUCAAUAAAAUGCAGUUAUUUUUCCAAAGAGGAAUGUUGUACAAAUGUUGUAAUAAUAUACUUCUCACUUCAUUACACUCAACACUAACUGCCAACGCCUCUUGUCAGGGAAGGGCCAGAUGUCUCUUAUUUGCUUGUUUAUUGCUAUGACUAUGCUUUAUUUACUCCAGUUACCACUACUAUUUGGCCAUGUGCACACUGCUUCUAUGUCUUAUACUGGAUCACUGUCUCAGACCAAAGUUGAUCCCUCCUAGCCAUGAUCUUCUUUUUCAAAGACAGCCAGAAUUAAACUAAAAAUACAUGGAUGCUUGUUCGUGUGUCUUUUUAGGCUCCUGAGUUUUUCUCAUAAUGCUGAGCUUAUUUCCAAUGAUCCAACUCUUCUAAAGGUGUUCCCCAUGUCCUGCAAAUGUUUCCUUUCUUUUACGCAUUACUGGCCUCACCACCAACCAUAUUACUUUCCUCAGGUAUCAUGUUCCAUCUUCCUGGUAAAAUUUUUCAUUCUGAGGACUUGAAUACUCUCUCCCUCUUGCUCUCUUCCUCAUUAACUCCUGAUUUCCUAGGAGCAGCUUUCAUGUGAGCAUCGCCUUUAGCAAUUAAAGGCAGCCUUUGGUUAACUGAAGGAUCUUUUUUUUUUUUCUGUAGUUAUACAGAGGCGUUUUUAAAAUUACUAAUGAAAACAUUUCCUUAUUUUGACUAAGUCCUACUAGCCUAUCUAUACUCCAGUUCCUCUAACCGAAUUCUUCAUAAACUCAUUAUAAGUUGUCAAUUGAUUAAAUAUCUAUUCUCAAUCCUCUUUUAUUCCUUUUUCCUGGCAUAGUUUUCAUGUCUGUAUUUCAAUUGCUCAGUUAAAAAUGCCUUAAACUUUCUGUCUUCCCAUAGAAUCCAUAUGGUUAAACAUUGACACUAGACUAUGUUAGCGUAGACUACAACUGUUGUAACUGUUGUGUUAGUUAAGGUAGAGCAGUUCCUAUUUUAAAAAAGAAAACAUCAGAUUUCAAUGGCUUAUCGCCAUUAAAUUUUAUUAUGUUCUCAAUCUCUGUUCCAUGCAGCCCACUGGAGGAAGGAGAAUGGGGAUUUUCUUUCACGCAGUCAUUUCAGGGACUCAUCAAACUCCAUCCAUGCAGGUUGCUAUGAGCAUGUGUGAGGAAAGAAUCUUUUCUUAUCUGCUUUGGGCCCCGAAUAAUAUACUUUUUCUUCUCACAUUUAACUUGUGAGAGCUAGUUGCAUGGUCCCAAUGUGAUGCAGAGAAUCUUGAUUCAGAUAAAAUGCAGUUUAUCUGUGUGUCCAGAAACAGAAUAACAUCUCCUCAGCAAUGACAGACUAGGUCAAACUAGUUAUGCCUUCAUUCAGGAAGCUGAGUUCUACUAAUACAAGACAAGAAGGCAAAACAGCCACUGGUAUACCCAUAGCCUUGUACAUUUUCUACCCUGCUUGGCCAUUUUCCACAUUUCUCUAAUCAGUUCACUUUUAUUUUUAUGCUAUUUAUGUUUCAUAUGUUCUUUACCCUCUUCCAAUUUCUGAUCUAUUUCUCUUGAUUCAAUUAUCAUAGAGGAAAAGAAAACUCCAAGUAGAAAUUUCACCUAUCUCUUUGCACUCCUGUAUCUGAGUCUUUCUCACUUAUGGCUCUAUUUUAUUGAAGGGAUUUCCUAUCUUCUAUUUCAAGGGCAAUCUUCUAAUGUACAAUAUGCCACACCAUUAUCCUCCUUGGUAAAUAGACAUUUCCCACUAACAUUCAAUUAUGCUAGUGACCCCCAUAUUGAAGUCUCUCUGCACUGACCAUAUAGCUCUCUCUGUCCUUUUAUCCCUCCUCUCCCCUCCAAACUGUAAUAAAGUAUCUUGAGAGGGUUUUCUGUAUUGUUGCCUCUGCUACUGGAUACCUGAGAUACUUUUCAACCCACUUCAAUCUGCCUUCUGCCCACAAUGCUUGAUAGAAAUUGCUCUUUCCAAGAUCCCAUUGACUUCUGUCACUAAAGCCAAUAGUGACUUUUCACUUAUUUUACACGUUACCAACCUUCAAUACACUUAAAAAUAUGUCUGCUUUAAACACUCUUUCCUUGGCUCCUCUCACAUUACAAUCCUCAUCUUCCUUCUUCCUUUCAGCUCCAUUUUUAGGUCAUCUAUUUGCUACAACUUUAAAUAUUGCAGUUCUUAAGAUUCACCUUUCGUUCCUAUUUAAUCUUCUCCUUAAAGGCAACUCAAACUGAAUAUAUAUCCAAAAGUGAAUUUCCUGGUUCCCUCUUUUUUCCUCCAAGUCUACACUUCCUCCACAUUCUCCCAUCUUAGUAUCUCUGUAGGUCAAAUCAGAUCUCUAGGAAUCACAGGGAUUUCUUCUCUCCCAUCAGCUACUAAAUCAAGUUAGUUAUGAAGUCUCAUUCAUUGUAAAGUGACCUUUCCAUUGUUUUCAUCCUUAUGAAAGCCACCAUCACGUUCUUAACAACACUGCAAAAGCAAAAAAAAAUCCUUCUAAUUUUACUGAAUCUAUUAUUAAUGGCCAUCUUUUUUUUCUCCGCAUAACAUUUAGAAUGGUCUCCUCAAGUCACAAAACCAAUCUUAAACUUCUCUUUUAAAACUCCUUGCUUUUAAACUAAGGAGCAUACUACUUACCUUGGUGUGCAAGCCUUUAAUUGCCUGGCUCUCUCUUAUUCCAAUUUGGGUUGGGCCAUGCUCCCUUCUUACCCCAUUGUGUUAUUCAGAAUAGUCUUUGCUUGGUGCCUCAGACAUGAAAGCCACAGGAGUUUUGAAACAUGUAUUUCCACUUGCUCCAACUUUCACCUGGAAAAUUUAUCAUUUUCUAGUUCUCAGUUCAAUGUUAACUUUGCUAAAGAAAAGUACGGUGUACUUUCUAUUUAUUAAUUGAUUUUCAAAACUUGUCAGGAUCAGUAUCAGAUACUUGCAUUUUAGUCAUAGUUUUAAAAACGCAUGUAUAUUUGCUUCAGAGCUGCUAAAGGGUGCAGUUAUCUAACAUGAGUUUAUGUUACUGUGUCUUCUCUGUCCAAGGGAACUGUCUUUAAACAGUACAAUUUUAGUCUUACUGAAAGAUUUUUAUAUGUGUCCCUAUUUCUUAUUGUUACUCCUCUCUGUUCUUCUAACCAAUGCCAUUUUAUUUUUAUCACUACUCUAGAUUAAACAAAAUAUUUCUUAUCAAAUGUUUACAUUAUUGAAUUAGCAGGUUACAUUAGUUGGAAAUGUAUUUACAUUCUAACACUUUAAACUCUAUUUUAUAAAAUUUUAUUUUUUUCCUCUUAAGGCAGUUUCUAUGAGAUGGGGUUUGAAGAAAAUGAAAUCACACUACAUGUACGAGUCUGAUUUUCUCAUAUGGAAUAAUUUGAGAGAAUAAUUGGAAAGUUCAGCAGCAUUUUCUACGGAUUAUGUGUAGAAGUUAUUGCUUUACUUCAAGCCCUGUUAAUGCAUUUGCCAUCAAUGGCAGAUAAAAUCUAUUGAGUGCUUAGGUCUCUCCACAUUUGACUUCAUUUCAACCUAAAAGCACCUUAAAGAUGGGUACUUUUAUUACCAUCUAAUGAAAAUAAAUGUUAAAGAGAAUAUCUGCCCUGCUUAAAGUCAGGCAGCUAGGAAAUAGAGCUGAGAUAGGAAGCUAGACUGUGUGGCAGCAGGGUCCUUACUUCACGUCAAUAAGCUAUCUGAUAUUUGUUUUAGAGAACAGCAUAUUCAGAUGGUAUAAUCUAGAUGUCCUGGGGGGAGGGGAUUUUACUUGAUUGUCUCUAUGUGUUUCACUUGAUCUUAAUCGUAAAACUCUAAGGGGGUCCAGCCCCCAGGAUCUAAAGAUAACGAUAUCUAAACAUGUUUUUUUUUCCUUAGAAUUUUAUAAAAAUAAUGAAAGAUUUAUUGAAAUUCCAUAAACAACUUCUUAAUAAGAAAAAAUACCAAAUGUCUUAUGUGUUUAGGGGAGCACUCUAAAAUGUAUGAACUUCUCCUCAUUAGCAACCCCUCCAGAUUGUGCCUAUGCCUCACGUCUAUCUAUCUUGCCUACCCGCAUGUAUUUUUUUGUGGUUUCCUGACCUGUAUUAUUCAUCCUAGAUGGUUACUAAUAAUGCUUUAUCUUUUGAACCUGAAAAUUCUGUAGAGAAUCAGGAUGUUAUAUACUCUUCAGGAGCCUGGGGUUCCCAUGGGAAAGGGAGAAUGCUUAAUACUCCUCUAGCAGAAAAAAAACUUUAUGUUUAGGCUUUAAAACAAAUAAACUUCACCAUUUUUAUCAUGUUAUUUUCACUACCCAUGUAAUAGAUUCUUGCAAUAAUAGCUUCCAUAUUUGUCUUGCUUCCCUGUAUUCCCCCUUGGAUAGGUCCUCCCUUACUAAUUCUAUUUUUUUUUUAAUAACAAACAUUUAUCACAGUUCUGGAGACUGGAAGUUACAAGAUUAAGGCACCUGCAGAUGUGAUGCCUGAUGAGGGCUUGCUUCUAGAUUAAUAGAAGGCAUCUCUUGGUGUGUCCCUGUGAGGUAUAAGAGACAAGGGAGAUCUCUGUGGUCUCUUUUUAUAAAGGCACUAAUCUCAUUAGUGGGGGCUCCCCCUCAUGACCUGAUCACCUCCCAAAGGGCUCACUUCCAAAUACCAUCACACUGGGGAUUAGGUUUCACUAUGUGAUUUCGGGGGAGGACAUAGACAUUCUUUCUAUAACUUUUUAAAUAGUUUUGCAUAGGUCCUCUCUCACUUAUCCUAGUGUUGACAAUGUGACUUGCUAUG
rnacentral:lncRNA from 1 species